GAUUUCCGCGUCACGUGAAUUGGACUGGCUACAACCGAAAAAACAGCUGAUCUGUGAUCAUAAAAGAUAAAGUAAACAUGGUGUUAUUUGAUAGAGUCAAGGCCACAAGGUAAUGUCCCAUUCUUUUCAGCAGUGUGACAGGCAUCCUUAAUGGAGCCAACAUGUCAGGGGAGCUGAAGGAGCCAAGUAAAGCCAUCCCUAAGGGCACACUGUAUGCCGUCAUGUUCACGUUCAUUUCUUACUUACUGCUAAUCAUUCUCGUCGGAGGAUCGAGUGACAGGUGCCUCCUCCUGAACAACUAUAUUUUCCUUCAGGAGAUAAACCUGUGGAAGCCAUUUGUCCUGAUUGGGAUAUUUGCUGCUACCCUGUCUGCUGCCCUGGGUAAUCUGAUAGGAGCCUCGCGGAUUCUACAGGCCCUGGCAAAUGACCAUUUGUUCUGGUUUGUUCUAAAUCCUGCCACGAUCACUACAAAGUCUGGAAACCCCUAUGUGGCUGUACUCAUCUCAUGGUUCCUUGUUCAACUGGUGCUAUUGGUGGGCUCUCUGAACGCUAUUGCCCCCGCCACCUCCGUAUUCUUUCUGAUGUCUUACGCCUCCGUUAACCUGGCCUGUCUAGCUCUGGAGCUGGCAUCGGCACCUAACUUCAGACCGACCUUCAAGUACUUCACCUGGUACACCUGCACCCUGGGCCUGAUCGGCUGUAUAGUGAUGUGCUUCCUGAUCAGCUCCCUCUACUCCUCCAUUGCCAUCAUCGUGAUGCUGAUCCUGGCCAUUAUCCUCCACUUCCGCUCCCUGCCCACCCAGUGGGGCUCCAUCAGCCAGGCACUCAUCUUUCACCAGGUAAGGAAAUACUUGUUGAUGUUGGAUUCAAGGAAAGCCCAUGUCAAGUACUGGCGUCCUCAGAUUCUGUUACUGGUGGCCAAUCCUCGUCAGUGUUCAGAACUCAUCACGUUCAUCAACGACAUCAAGAAAGGUGGACUGUACGUGAUCGGCCACGUCAAGCUGGGAUCCCUGGACUCGUAUACCACUGACCCAAUUUUAGAGGAAAAUCCAAAAUGGCUGGGACUGAUUGAUUAUCUCAAAGUGAAAGCUUUCGUGGAAGUGACAAUGGCAAACACUGUCUCCGAAGGUUUACAACACUUGCUUAGGCUGUCUGGAAUGGGGGGUAUGAAACCCAAUACGGUUUGCUUCGGUUUUGUGGACGACUCCAAACCAAAGGAUACUCUGAGUUUCAUGAAUAAUGAGAGGAGGAGGCGUUUUUUCACGCGAUUGGAAAGUGGAAAGAAAGUGAGUAUUGACAAUUUGUUUAUGAAUGUCAGAGGAGACGGAGACUCAGGACAGCUAAGUCCUCUGGAAUAUGUGAAGCUGAUUUCUGAUUCCUUGAAAAUGCAGAAGAAUGUCUGCCUGUGCCGACAUUUUGACCAGCUGAGCAAGCAAUCCAUCGUCAAUUCCAAAAAGACCCUCUUCAUUGAUGUGUGGCCGGUGAAUCUCUUUCGUCCGGACACUGCCAACUUUUUUGACAACACCUGUCUCUUCAUGCUCCAGUUAGCAUGUAUUCUGACCAUGGUCCCGGGCUGGAAGUCUAAAACCAGGCUCAGAGUGUUCCUGUGUUUGAAUGCGCAGACUGACAACACACUUCAGAAGCAACAAAAACUGGACGCUUUUCUCCAUCAGCUCCGGAUCGAGGCCUCUGUGAAAAUCGUCACCUGGGACCACCUGGUGUCACACCUACCAGUCAUGUCGGGGAACAGCAGCGAUAAGCUUACCCUAAUGGAGAAAUUCCACGCAGUUCCGACGGAGUUCAUCAGUUCAAUCAACCAACUGAUUACCUCGUAUUCCAGCACUACAGCGCUGAGUUUCAUGUAUCUCCCCGUCCCCCCCACGGAUGUUCGGGAGAGUGAGACCUAUCUAAACAGUCUGAGGUUGUUGUCUGACAAUCUUCCUCCCACGGUCUUUGUACAUGGACUGCAUCCAGUAACUUCAACCACACUUUGAUGAUGUCAGACCUUAACAAAUUGUAACAUGAAUUGUCCAUUCCAUAUUACGUGAAGAAGAUUAGGGUUUUUUUCAUACAGAAACCAUUUAAUUUUUUGUUAGUGGUGGCAAAAUCUUUAUAUGCUUUUGUUUGCAAUAUACAUUUAUAUUAAGCUUGUAUGAAGGAUCAUGACUUAAACAACUGUGAUAUAAUGUGGUUUCAUUAAUAUUUAUGGGCAUAAUUUUUCAUGGGUCUGGUUAAAUUCACACUUUUGAGGAUUCAGUAAUUCAUAGACAAUGAUUCUACAUGUGCUCUAAAAAUUGUGAUGUACAGUUUGUUUUAAAACUUAAGGAUUGACUUAACAUUGAAAUCCCCUUAAAACUUAAGGACUGAUUUAAAAUUGAAGUCCCCAAAAAGUGUUUUUUUUCUUAAAUGAUGAUGAUGUCACAUAUACAUUUGUUUAAAAAAAAUGUAUAAAAAGUACAAUAAGUGCAAUAGAUGGCUUGUUUUCCUGAAUAACUUGUAGUUUAGUUUUGACUACUGCAAUAACAAUCAUAGUCUUGACUGCUGCAGGGUUAUUGUUGCUGAUGUAAUUUAAAAAAUUAUUUUCCAUGUUAACUGUAUGUUGUGACACUUUUUCAAAAGUUCAACCAAAAAUCUGUGCGGGUUUUUUUUGUUUCAAAAUGUCCAUGAAACCAUCCAUGAUAUUCAAAUUUCAUAGGAUCUACUUUUUGAAAUGGUAGUAUAACGUAGUAUUGAUAUUUUCUUAUACAUGUUGUGUAGUAUUUUUUUUUACCUGUAGGUAUUCUUAGUGCAAUAUAAUUGUGCUUCGGGUUUAAAGCCAGUCAUCAAUAUGAAGAUAUACAUGUAGUUUUAGCUUACUAUUUCUGUAGCUUUAUGGUGUCCUAAAAUUUCUUGAUGAAAUCUGCUAUUUUUUAUGCACUGUUUUUUGUAAUUAUGUAAUAACAAGAAUUAUUCAACCAAUAAAUUCUUUGUUCAGUUAUAGUAAAAAAAAAAAAAUAGACGCUUGUUGUUAUAAAAAAUGUAAAAUUGGAAAAGGCAAUAAUAUACUAGUACUUUUCUGUACUAUUUCAGGUAUAAGCGUUUUACAGUUAUCAAUUGAACAAAAUAAAUUUUUACAAUAUU
rnacentral:misc_RNA from 1 species